GUGGGGAAUAUUGGGCAAUGGGCGAAAGCCUGACCCAGCAACGCCGCGUGAAGGAAGAAGGUUUUCGGAUCGUAAACUUCUAUCCUUGGUGAAGAUAAUGACGGUAGCCGAGAAGGAAGCCCCGGCUAACUACGUGCCAGCAGCCGCGGUAAUACGUAGGGGGCAAGCGUUGUCCGGAAUGAUUGGGCGUAAAGGGCGCGUAGGCGGCCCGGUAAGUCUGAAGUGAAAGUCCUGCUUUUAAGGUGGGAAUUGCUUUGGAUACUGUCGGGCUUGAGUGCAGGAGAGGUAAGCGGAAUUCCCGGUGUAGCGGUGAAAUGCGUAGAGAUCGGGAGGAACACCAGUGGCGAAGGCGGCUUACUGGACUGUAACUGACGCUGAGGCGCGAAAGUGUGGGGAGCAAAAGGGAUUAGAAACCCGGGUAGUCC
rnacentral:rRNA from 1 species